UACGUAGGGCGCAAGCGUUGUCCGGAAUUAUUGGGCGUAAAGAGCUCGUAGGCGGUUUGUCGCGUCUGCUGUGAAAACCCAAGGCUCAACCUUGGGCUUGCAGUGGGUACGGGCAGACUAGAGUGCGGUAGGGGUGACUGGAAUUCCUGGUGUAGCGGUGGAAUGCGCAGAUAUCAGGAGGAACACCGAUGGCGAAGGCAGGUCACUGGGCCGCAACUGACGCUGAGGAGCGAAAGCAUGGGGAGCGAACAGG
rnacentral:rRNA from 1 species